AGUCGAGCGGGCCUUUCGGGGUCAGCGGCGGACGGGUGAGUAACGCGUGGGAACGUGCCCUCUGGUUCGGAAUAACUCAGGGAAACUUGAGCUAAUACCGGAUACGCCCUUUUGGGGAAAGGCUUGCUGCCGGAGGAUCGGCCCGCGUCUGAUUAGCUAGUUGGUGAGGUAACGGCUCACCAAGGUGACGAUCAGUAGCUGGUCUGAGAGGAUGAUCAGCCACACUGGGACUGAGACACGGCCCAGACUCCUACGGGAGGCAGCAGUGGGGAAUAUUGGACAAUGGGCGCAAGCCUGAUCCAGCCAUGCCGCGUGAGUGAUGAAGGCCUUAGGGUUGUAAAGCUCUUUUAUCCGGGACGAUAAUGACGGUACCGGAGGAAUAAGCCCCGGCUAACUUCGUGCCAGCAGCCGCGGUAAUACGAAGGGGGCUAGCGUUGCUCGGAAUCACUGGGCGUAAAGGGCGCGUAGGCGGCGUUUUAAGUCGGGGGUGAAAGCCUGUGGCUCAACCACAGAAUGGCCUUCGAUACUGGGACGCUUGAGUAUGGUAGAGGUUGGUGGAACUGCGAGUGUAGAGGUGAAAUUCGUAGAUAUUCGCAAGAACACCGGUGGCGAAGGCGGCCAACU
rnacentral:rRNA from 1 species